rnacentral:rRNA from 1 species
GACGAACGCUGGCGGCGUGCUUAACACAUGCCAGUCGAACGGACAGGCCCUUCGGGGUACUCGCGUGGCGAACGGGCGGGUAACUCGUGGAUGAUCUGCUCUGCUCUCUGGGAUACUCGUGGGACACUGGGUCUACUACCCUAUAGGACCACGCGCUUCUGAGUGUGAGGGUUCAAGCUUUUGCGGUGUUCGUUGGGCCGGCGCCGCAUUAGCUAGUUGGUGAGGUACUGGCUUACCAAGGCGACGACGCGUAGCCGACCUGUGAGGGUGAUCGGCCACACUGGAACUGAGACACGGUCCAGACUCCUACGGGAGGCAGCAGUAGGGAAGCUUCCGCAAUGGGCGAAAUGCUGACGGAGCAACGCCGCGUGAGUGAAGAAGGUCUUCGGAUCGUAAAACUCUGUUAUUAGGGAAGAACAAAUGUGUAAGUAACUAUGCACGUCUUGACGGUACCUAAUCAGAAAGCCACGGCUAACUACGUG